rnacentral:rRNA from 1 species
CCUACGGGUGGCAGCAGUGAGGAAUAUUGGUCAAUGGGCGCGAGCCUGAACCAGCCCAGUAGCGUGAAGGAUGACUGCCCUACGGUUUGUAAACUUCUUUUAUAAAGGAAUAAAGUGAGGCGUGUGUGCCUUUUUGUAUGUACUUUAUGAAUAAGGAUCGGCUAACUGCGUGCCCGCAGCCGCGGUAAUACGGGGGAUACGAGCGUUAUCCGGAUUUAUUGGGUUUAAAGGGAACUUAGAUGGGUUGUUAAGUCAGUUGUGAAAGUUUGCGGCUCAACCGUAAAAUUGCACUUGAUACUGGCAGUCUUGAGUACAGUUGAGGUAGGCGGAAUUCGUGGUGUAGCGGUGAAAUGCUUAGAUAUCACGAAGAACUCCGAUUGCGAAGGCAGCUUACUAAACUGCCACUGACAUUGAUGCUCGAAAGUGUGGGUAUCAAACAGGAUUAGAUACCCUAGUAGUC